rnacentral:rRNA from 1 species
GCUUGUCUCAAAGAUUAAGCCAUGCAUGUCUAAGUAUAAGCAACCUUAUACAGCGAAACUGCGUACAGCUCAUUAUAUCAGCAAUUAUUUAUUUGAAGAUCACCUAUUACAUGGAUAACCGUGGUAAUUCUAGAGCUAAUACAUGCGUCAAUGCCCGACUUUGGAAGGGCUGUGUUUAUUAGAUCCAAAACCAAUGCGGGGCAACCCGGUUACUGGUGAUUCAUAAUAACCUAUCGGACCGAAUGGCCUUGCGCCGUCGGUGCAUCAUUCAAAUUUCUGCCCUAUCAAUUUGUUGGUAGUAUAUAGGACUACCAAGAUGAUUACGGGUAACGGAGAAUUAGGGUUUGAUUCCGGAGAGGGAGCCUGAGAAACGGCUACCACAUCUAAGGAAGGCAGCAGG